GAUGUCCACAAGAUCGACUGCUUAGCACCCCAUUUGACAGCCAUCAAGCCACCGAUGAAGUUACCAGGAACAUUUCCGUAACUGUAUGCAGCAAUCAGUUGACCGCGAAUCUCAGGCCUCCAGUCGAAAGGAUGUAGUCUUCCAGAUAGGCGCCCGGAUCCAACCAAGAAAUCGCGCGGCGAACUCGAGACUGCUCGGCUCUGCAGACACCCUCGGUUAUGUUACCCGGUAGAGAUUUGAUCAUUGGCACGGCGAGGAUUGGCAUUUGCAGACGGCACAUGUAGUUGGUCCAACAGGCCGUGAACAUCAUUAUGCAGAUCAGAACUCUUGUCGGAAUCCAUUCUGCAACAAAUAAGAAUAUCCUACUUCCGUUUUGUGUACUAUUCCGAUGAAAGUUUCCUUUGGAUACUCGAAUCAACUUACCAAUCGAUUUCCAUGUGGAAACAGUAUCCAAUGAUAAUGAAAAAAAAGAAAUAAUACUGAACAAUAUUAAUCUUUAUACACUAUUAAUCUUAUCGGCUCUCGAUGAUCCAGAGACCAAUCGAUAUGGAACAAUAAAAAAAAGUUUUUUGAUUAAAUGGAUAGUGAGGCCGCUCCAAGAAAUAAUGGAGAUUUUUCAAAGGAAAAUUAAGUGACCUAAGUAAGCAAUCUAAGUGAUUGUAAGAAGGUUAAAUAACGGACAUGAUUCGAAAACUGUGCCGACAAGAAUGGAAUUUGUGUUGAACACAUACAAGUUUCGACAUUCGUCGAAGAUCAGACUUUGUACUGCCGGUAGCAACAGUUUGAAAACAGAAAACCGCUUUCAUUGAAGACUGAGAAAAAUACAGAAGUGAAAACUGAUUCCUGAUCGAACUAUCCGAUCGUUUCUCGAAAUUUAGUUUAAAUUGGAAAGUAAAUAGGCGAAUGAAAUAGGAAAAUACAUGCUUUACUCACGUGGGAAAAACUUCUCGUAAUAAUGCUUGUACAUUCUGCGAUUUCAGCAGAGGAAUUUACAACAUGCACCAACUAACGCGAUAUUCGAGACGUUUCCUCAGGACAUCGUUUGAGAAAGACGUGGAAGCAAAACAGAGGACAAAACGAUUCCUACGAAAACUAGCUUUCAAACACGACACACAUCGGAAACUGCCGAAGGAGUAACUGGAUGACAUUGGUUAUCCAGCCAGCUUAUUUAAGUAGUCAGUAGGAAUGUCACGAUCGAAUCUCAUCGUUGUUCCAAAUGGAACACAUCGAUUCGAAUUAUCGCGCGUGCUUAAAAUAUUCGCGGCACGUUAACUCGACUGGUGUUAUGCAAAAGAUCAUUGCGUUCGAUAGCCACCGAUAAAUUUUCGCCCGACGGUAGCGGGCUAUUGAUAACACGCCCUGUUGCUACCGUUUCAAACCGCGAUUUUAAUUGAAAGAAGAUGCUAUGCAUCAGUAGCAUACUCUGAUAAAAAGGAAGGAGGAAAUUGAAAAUAUUAAAUCGAAUAAAAGCUGAUCGUUGAUUGAUAGACAGGUUGAUCUUAAAUUUAUAGAAAAAAUUAAGAUAAGACGUUGUGGAAAUUGAGAGUACGAAUACUUUUUUAGGCUAAAUUCUUUGUUUAACG